rnacentral:rRNA from 1 species
AAACCUUGCGGCAGCUACACAUGCAGUCGAGCGGUAGCACAGGAGAGCUUGCUCUCUGGGUGACGAGCGGCGGACGGGUGAGUAAUGUCUGGGAAACUGCCUGAUGGAGGGGGAUAACUACUGGAAACGGUAGCUAAUACCGCAUAACGUCUACGGACCAAAGUGGGGGACCUUCGGGCCUCACGCCAUCAGAUGUGCCCAGAUGGGAUUAGCUAGUAGGUGGGGUAAUGGCUCACCUAGGCGACGAUCCCUAGCUGGUCUGAGAGGAUGACCAGCCACACUGGAACUGAGACACGGUCCAGACUCCUACGGGAGGCAGCAGUGGGGAAUAUUGCACAAUGGGCGCAAGCCUGAUGCAGCCAUGCCGCGUGUGUGAAGAAGGCCUUAGGGUUGUAAAGCACUUUCAGCGAGGAGGAAGGGUUCAGUGUUAAUAGCACUGUGCAUUGACGUUACUCGCAGAAGAAGCACCGGCUAACUCCGUGCCAGCAGCCGCGGUAAUACGGAGGGUGCAAGCGUUAAUCGGAAUUACUGGGCGUAAAGCGCACGCAGGCGGUUUGUUAAGUCAGAUGUGAAAUCCCCGCGCUUAACGUGGGAACUGCAUUUGAAACUGGCAAGCUAGAGUCUUGUAGAGGGGGGUAGAAUUCCAGGUGUAGCGGUGAAAUGCGUAGAGAUCUGGAGGAAUACCGGUGGCGAAGGCGGCCCCCCUGGACAAAGACUGACGCUCAGUGCGAAAGCGUGGGGAGCAAAACAGGAUUAAUACCCUGGUAGUCCACCUGUAAACGAUGUCGAUUUGGAGGUUGUGCCCUUGAGGCGUGGCUUCCGGAGCUAACGCGUUAAAUCGACCGCCUGGGGAGUACGGCCGCAAGGUUAAAACUCAAAUGAAUUGACGGGGGCCCGCACAAGCGGUGGAGCAUGUGGUUUAAUUCGAUGCAACGCGAAGAACCUUACCUACUCUUGACAUCCAGAGAACUUUCCAGAGAUGGAUUGGUGCCUUCGGGAACUCUGAGACAGGUGCUGCAUGGCUGUCGUCAGCUCGUGUUGUGAAAUGUUGGGUUAAGUCCCGCAACGAGCGCAACCCUUAUCCUUUGUUGCCAGCGAUUCGGUCGGGAACUCAAAGGAGACUGCCGGUGAUAAACCGGAGGAAGGUGGGGAUGACGUCAAGUCAUCAUGGCCCUUACGAGUAGGGCUACACACGUGCUACAAUGGCGUAUACAAAGAGAAGCGAACUCGCGAGAGCAAGCGGACCUCAUAAAGUACGUCGUAGUCCGGAUUGGAGUCUGCAACUCGACUCCAUGAAGUCGGAAUCGCUAGUAAUCGUAGAUCAGAAUGCUACGGUGAAUACGUUCCCGGGCCUUGUACACACCGCCCGUCACACCAUGGGAGUGGGUUGCAAAAGAAGUAGGUAGCUUAACCUUCGGGAGGGCGCUACCACUUUGUAUUAUGGGU